rnacentral:rRNA from 1 species
GAUGAACGCUGACAGAAUGCUUAACACAUGCAAGUCAACUGUGGCGGACGGGUGAGUAACGCGUAAAGAACUUGCCUCACAGCUAGGGACCACAUUUGGAAACGAAUGCUAAUACCUGAUACUGUGAGAGAGCUUUGCGUCCCAUUAGCUAGUUGGAGAGGUAACGGCUCACCAAGGCGAGGAUGGGUAGCAGGCCUGAGAGGGGGCUCGGCCACAAGGGGACCGAGAAACGGGCCUUAUUCCUACGGGAGGCAGGAGUGGGGAAGAUUUGAAAAAGGACCAAAGUUUUAACCAGCAAUUCUGUGGGCAAGAUGAAGUUUUCGGAAAUGAAAGUGCUUUCAGUUGGGAAGCGGUACCAACAGAAGAAGUGACGGCUAAAUACGUGCCAGCAGCCGCGGUAAUAC